rnacentral:rRNA from 1 species
AGCCUGAUGCAGCAACGCCGCGUGAGGGACGACGGCCUUCGGGUUGUAAACCUCUUUUAGCAGGGAAGAAGCGAAAGUGACGGUACCUGCAGAAAAAGCGCCGGCUAACUACGUGCCAGCAGCCGCGGUAAUACGUAGGGCGCAAGCGUUAUCCGGAAUUAUUGGGCGUAAAGAGCUCGUAGGCGGUUUGUCGCGUCUGCUGUGAAAUCCGGAGGCUCAACCUCCGGCCUGCAGUGGGUACGGGCAGACUAGAGUGCGGUAGGGGAGAUUGGAAUUCCUGGUGUAGCGGUGGAAUGCGCAGAUAUCAGGAGGAACACCGAUGGCGAAGGCAGAUCUCUGGGCCGUAACUGACGCUGAGGAGCGAAAGGGUGGGGAGCAAACAGGCUUAGAUACCCUGGUAGUCCACCCCGUAAACGUUGGGAACUAGUUGUGGGGUCCAUUCCACGGAUUCCGUGACGCAGCUAACGCAUUAAGUUCCCCGCCUGGGGAGUACGGCCGCAAGGCUAAAACUCAAAGGAAUUGACGGGGACCCGCACAAGCGGCGGAGCAUGCGGAUUAAUUCGAUGCAACGCGAAGAACCUUACCAAGGCUUGACAUAUACGAGAACGGGCCAGAAAUGGUCAACUCUUUGGACA